CCGCGUGAGUGAUGAAGGCUUUCGGGUCGUAAAACUCUGUUGUUAGGGAAGAUACAAGUACAAGAGUAACUGCUUGUACCUUGACGGUACCUAACCAGAAAGCCACGGCUAACUACGUGCCAGCAGCCGCGGUAAUACGUAGGUGGCAAGCGUUAUCCCGGAAUUAUUGGGCGUAAAGCGCGCGCAGGCGGUUUCUUAAGUCUGAUGUGAAAGCCCACGGCUCAACCGUGGAGGGUCAUUGGAAACUGGGGAACUUGAGUGCAGAAGAGAAAAGCGGAAUUCCACGUGUAGCGGUGAAAUGCGUAGAGAUGUGGAGGAACACCAGUGGCGAAGGCGGCUUUUUGGUCUGUAACUGACGCUGAGGCGCGAAAGCGUGGGGAGCAAACAGGAUUAGAUACCCUGGUAGUCCCACGCCGUAAACGAUGAGUGCUAAGUGUUAGAGGGUUUCCGCCCUU
rnacentral:rRNA from 1 species